UGGCGCACGGGUGCGUAACGCGUAACCAACCUACCCGAAACUGGGGGAUAGCCCGCCGAAAGGCGGAUUAAUACCGCAUAAGCUCUGAGAGUGGCAUCACUCUUUUAGUAAAGAUUUAUUGGUUUUGGAUGGGGUUGCGUGCCAUUAGCUAGUUGGUGAGGUAACGGCUCACCAAGGCGACGAUGGCUAGGGGAGCUGAGAGGCUGGUCCCCCACACGGGCACUGAGAUACGGGCCCG
rnacentral:rRNA from 1 species